GGUCCAAAUUUUGUGCUAUGAAGUAAAGGAAAUAUUUCUGGAGGAAACUAAUGUUCAUGUAUGGUAUCUUUCCCACAAUUUUGCAAUGGCGCCAUUUUAUUAAUAUAGUUAAUUGGUUGUACAAAAUAUAAUGAUGGUUUCCUCUGUUUAGUAACAUCAUGCCAUCAUCCUCAUAGUUUUGUUCUACACUUGUAUUUAUUAAUGUUCUAUUCAGUUUUCUUGUGUGGAAGCGACCAACUAGAAAAGGCAGGACGAGUUUCUUAAUAAUGAUCAUGUUUUGGUGCUACACACAAGAAGUUGCCUGCUCCGAGUUUUAUUGGUUGCUGCUGCAGGAUUACAUGAAUCAUUUUUCUCCAGGAUUGUUGUGUCAUCCGAGCAUUUUACUCUAUACAGGUAUGCAACUUGAAAUCUCCCAAAUCAAAUUCGUUCCUUUGCUCACUUCAAUGGUAAUUACCAUGUAAUUCUUUCAAGUUUCUUUCAUAGAUUCAAUUUAUUAUGAUUAAAUUUAUAUCAAGGAAAAGUUUUCAUCAUAUUUUUGGAAGAAUUCUCAAUGUUCUAUGUGUUUGUCCUUUUUGUUCCAUCCAAUUAGGCUUGAAAUAAGUUCCACUGUUCUUUACUUCGGCAGUGUUUGCCUUGUUGUAUCAGUGUGUCGCCAAACCUCAUCUCCCACUAUGCAUGUGUGUUGCUUUGGGAAUCGUCGCAAAGGAGAUUACAAUGUAAUUUUGCUAGAUUUUUAAUGACUUCACUUUGUUUGAAUGUGGGACCUAAUAGGUGACACAGGUAAUAGUAUUUUGACUUAUCUACUUUUAGUGUAGGAGGCCUAUGCGAGCAUGAAGAAAACUUUCAAACCAUCUAAUCGUAAAUCCGUUACAUGUACAAUUUUUUAUGUUAUAAAUCUCUAGGCAUCGAUUACUUUACGUGAUUCUAAUUUCUAAUUCAAGAAUUCGUUCCAUAUUAUAACUCAGAAGUCUUCUAUGUGUAUCAUAUAUUGAGUUUCAGGUGGACACUAAGAUAGCAUCGGAGCACCAACUUAGUUCCAACGUAAAUACAUGAUUCUGGAGUCCCACAGCUGGAAACGUUUAGUACUUACCAUUUUUCUCAUUUCCUACAGUUUUUAUUUCGAUGUUCCAUAAAUUAGCUGAUUAAGUGCCUGAAAGCAAACCAGUUGCUAUAUAUACUCGAGGUAGCAAAUAAGCAAGUACAAUAUACUAGAGUCUAUGAAUGUCUUGAAUUUUGUUGCAAUAUAUCUCAACAUCCAAAUUUUAUUUUGCGCAUCCUGUAGA
rnacentral:lncRNA from 1 species